UUUAAAAAAAUCCAGUAAUCUAGGCCCCAGCUGCCCCAGUGUCAAUGUGUCUUGGCGUUCUGGUUGCCACUGUGCUGAAUGCCACUAUAUAGCAGCUGCAUUGAGGGUGUCGGCUGUGUGUACUGAGUCACUAUGGCUGCCGACCAACUCAUGUUAGGCCCACAGAGCAUUGUCAAAAUUCUGCUUCAUGGA